rfam:Wuchereria bancrofti cont1.1735, whole genome shotgun sequence.
UAAGCUUGAACUGCCAGUGGUCUUGUGAUCCGUUGAGAAAUUUUGGAUCGAAUCACAGCCAACUGGUGGCUCAGCUUGC